AGAUUGAACGCUGGCGGCAGGCCUAACACAUGCAAGUCGAGCGGCAGCACGGGUACUUGUACCUGGUGGCGAGCGGCGGACGGGUGAGUAAUGCCUAGGAAUCUGCCUGGUAGUGGGGGAUAACGCUCGGAAACGGACGCUAAUACCGCAUACGUCCUACGGGAGAAAGCAGGGGACCUUCGGGCCUUGCGCUAUCAGAUGAGCCUAGGUCGGAUUAGCUAGUUGGUGAGGUAAUGGCUCACCAAGGCGACGAUCCGUAACUGGUCUGAGAGGAUGAUCAGUCACACUGGAACUGAGACACGGUCCAGACUCCUACGGGAGGCAGCAGUGGGGAAUAUUGGACAAUGGGCGAAAGCCUGAUCCAGCCAUGCCGCGUGUGUGAAGAAGGUCUUCGGAUUGUAAAAGCACUUUAAGUUGGAGAAGGCAGUUACCUAAUACGUAUCUGUUUGACGUUACGACAGAAUAAGCACGGCUAAACUCUGUG
rnacentral:rRNA from 1 species